rnacentral:lncRNA from 1 species
AGAGAACUGCUCCGGUGAAAUGGGCCAUGGUCUUGGAGUCGUCUAUGCACCACCCCCCACGACCCAGCUGGUCAGAGCUGCGCCCCCACCUCCCCCACCACACAGUCAGCCCAUCCACAGGCUCCGUCCAAGGCCUCCUGCCUAUCCAGCCCUGCACAAAGGAGCGGGGCAGGAGCAGGGUGUUCUUUGAUUCCACAGACCUCCAGCGACAUCUCCUCUGUGCCAGGACCUCAGCUGGCCACAGGGGAGCCAAGUCAGCAUGCCCUAGGACUGCCUAUGGCUCUGCCAGCCUGGACAGUGUCAUCCCACAUCCGGGUUUGCAUCCUGACUCGGCCACUCCCAAGGUCAUUUGGCCCCAGCAAAUGCCUGGACCUCGGCCCCAGGUGCAGAGAGAACAGGGCUCCGGGAGGAGCAGAGGAAGUAAGGUGUUUCUCACUGCAAAGCCCUCAACAAAUCUUAGAUAAUAAGCAGAUGGCAAGGCCACAAAUGCUUGGCGCUCAGCGAGCAGUUCACUCUGGAAGGGGUGAAGAGCUUCACAAACCAUGAUGUGGAGAACAAGAGCCUGCAGCCCCUGGAGACCAGGACCUCGAGAUGCAAUACAGCAAUGAGAGUGGCCAGCCACUGCUACUACAUGCAGCCCCAUGGAGGACUCUCACAGAUACAACUCUGAAUGAAAGAGGCAAGGCGUGAACAGCACAGGUGGAACUGAGGAGUCCCAACCCAGGGCAGGAAGGGCACAAGAACAUCGUCCUGUUUGUGGACUCACCUGGUAGUUACCCGGAUGUGUUCACUUUUGAUAAUUUAUUAAGGAAUAUUUUUAUGAUUGGUGCACUUUCCUGUAUGCAUGUUAUAUUUCAAAAACAAGUUUUCAUGAAAAGAAAAAAAAGGAAACAAAUACAAAUGCUGUCUGCUGUUCCCUCCUGUCCUCCCAUGCCCUUGCCCUGUGCAGGCCAGCACCGCCUCCCCCUGGAUGGCUGCCCUGGCCUUCCUCUCAUGUGCUCACCUCCUCAUACCUCCCACUCCCACUCCAAAUUAUAGUCGCCAGGCUUAGCAAUAAAAGUACACAAAUG